GUAAAGGCUGGGCUUAGACGUGGCCUCUGGGUGUGGAAUGCACUUCCGUGUGUAACCGCCAUCUAACCCUGGCCUUUGACAG
ensembl:miRNA Mir1981 microRNA 1981